UUCCUGUUGGCUCAGACAGUAAAGUGUCUGCCUACAAUGCGGAAGACCCAGGUUCAAUUCCUGGCUUGGGAA
rnacentral:tRNA from 1 species